UACGUAGGGGGCAAGCGUUGUCCGGAAUUACUGGGCGUAAAGAGCUCGUAGGUGGUUUGUCGCGUUGUUCGUGAAAUCUCACGGCUUAACUGUGAGCGUGCGGGCGAUACGGGCAGACUGGAGUACUGCAGGGGAGACUGGAAUUCCUGGUGUAGCGGUGGAAUGCGCAGAUAUCAGGAGGAACACCGGUGGCGAAGGCGGGUCUCUGGGCAGUAACUGACGCUGAGGAGCGAAAGCGUAGGGAGCGAACAGG
rnacentral:rRNA from 1 species